CUGCUGCCUCCCGUAGGAGUCUGGUCCGUGUCUCAGUACCAGUGUGGGGGACCUUCCUCUCAGAACCCCUACGCAUCGUCGGUUAGGUGGGCCGUUACCCCGCCUACUGCCUAAUGCGCCGCAUGUCCAUCCCUGUCCGGCCGAAGCCUUUCCUGCCUCCGGGAUGCCCCGGUGGCAUGUACGCGGGUUUAGCCCGCCUUUCGGCGGGUUGUCCCCCUGACAGGGGCAGGUUGCAUACGUGUUACUCACCCGUGCGCCGGUCGCCGGCGGAGAAAG
rnacentral:rRNA from 1 species